GCUGGCGGCGCGCUUAACACAUGCAAGUCGAGCGAGAACCUGGCCUUCGGGCCUGGGGAAAGCGGCGAACGGGUGAGUAACACGUGGGUAACCCACCCUUGGUACUGGGAUAGCCCGGGGAAACCCGGAUUAAUACCGGAUGGCCCAACAGCUCUUCGGGGCGGUUGGAAAAGGUAGCUUCGGCCUCCGACCAAGGACGGGCCCGCGGCGGAUUAGCUUGUUGGUGGGGUAACGGCCUACCAAGGCGACGAUCCGUAGCUGGUCUGAGAGGACGAUCAGCCACACUGGGACUGAGACACGGCCCAGACUCCUACGGGAGGCAGCAGUGGGGAAUCUUGCGCAAUGGGCGAAAGCCUGACGCAGCGACGCCGCGUGGGGGAAGAAGGCUUUCGGGUUGUAAACCCCUUUCAGGAAGGACGAAGCCACUCGGGUUAAUAGCCCAGAGGGUGACGGUACUUCCAGAAGAAGCCCCGGCUAACUACGUGCCAGCAGCCGCGGUAAUACGUAGGGGGCAAGCGUUGUCCG
rnacentral:rRNA from 1 species